GCUGGUGUAGGUGAUGACUGACCUUUUUUCCCCAUCAGAGCGACAGUGUUGAGUUGUCACUGUUCUAGCCAGACCUCGUCUGAUGCACCAGC